UGGGGAAUCUUGGACAAUGGGCGCAAGCCUGAUCCAGCCAUGCCGCGUGAGUGACGAAGGUCUUCGGAUUGUAAAGCUCUUUUGGCGGGGACGAUAAUGACGGUACCCGCAGAAUAAGCCCCGGCUAACUUCGUGCCAGCAGCCGCGGUAAUACGAAGGGGGCUAGCGUUGUUCGGAAUUACUGGGCGUAAAGCGCACGUAGGCGGAUUUGUAAGUCAGGGGUGAAAUCCCGGGGCUCAACCUCGGAACUGCCUCUGAUACUGCGAAUCUCGAGUCCGAUAGAGGUGAGUGGAAUUCCUAGUGUAGAGGUGAAAUUCGUAGAUAUUAGGAAGAACACCAGUGGCGAAGGCGGCUCACUGGAUCGGUACUGACGCUGAGGUGCGAAAGCGUGGGGAGCAAACAGGAUUAGAUACCCAUGUAGUCCCUGAGCGGGCUGGCAAGGCGCAU
rnacentral:rRNA from 1 species